UCAGGAUGUCAAUGUUGGUGAUUUAUCUGAUUGGGCAACUGACUCCUAGAAAUGUCUCCCUAUGCAGGUUUAUGUCUCCUUUUGCUUUUUCUCUUGGUGACUAUGUGUUUCAUUUAUGCUGCUCACUGUCUCGUGAGGGCCCGUUGAAAAUCUCAGUGGGAUUCUCCUGGAAAAAUAAAAAUGAAAAAUGUAAACAUCAUGUGGAAAAAAACAAAACAAAACAUACUAUACAAUCACAAAGUUCAGCUGAUACGUGCAGAUGAGGAAGGAAGCCAACAGGCCACGAGUCCCCUGUGAAAAUAUAAGAAAUUCAAUAGUGUAAUCACUAUACUGUACGCAUCAGUCAAGAGGGGGAAAACCAAACAAACAAAGAUGACAAGCAGCAGGCAAAAGAAACAUAAAAAAGGGAAAUGACAGGUCAUCUGUACUUGUUUCCUCUCACCUCUGUAAUAUGAUCUACAAGGUAAAAUCACAGCUGUCAAAGAAGUAUUCAGAUCAAUUUACUAAAGGAAAAGUGGAGACAAACAUGCAAGUAGUUAUUUAAUGUAAUUUAACUUUACUGUUGGGUGAUUUGAAGACAAUGCAUCAUAAAUGAUAAACAGGUCAUAAGUUUUGCAUUGAGAAUCCUAAUCUGAAAAGUGAUUACAGUUAAUAUUAAUGUGGUGGAGUAAAGAGUAAAUAUUUCUCUUUGAAAUAUAGUUUAGUCACAAAGUGUUGAAUUGAAUUGCUCGAGCAAAGCACAAGUACAUUGAACGUGUCUUUAAUUUUAGUUCUUGAGUAAAUGUACUUACUUUUCACCACUUUAAAGGCAAAAUUAAAGACAGCAAAUGCUUACUACUAUAACUACAUUACGUUAAAGGCUAAGAAAAGUUAAAUGUUCCUUUAUUAGUCAUUUUACAACACCGGGGCUGUGGAACUUAACUGAGUCACCUUAUGCUACAAGAUGUUUAUACAGUGGCAUGCUGGUGAUGAACGGAUGAGUCUCACAGCCUGGGGAAAGAAGCUGCUCUGUAGUCUGGUGGUAUGACAGCAGAUACUUCUGUAUCUUUUGCCAGAUGGCAGCAGGGUGACCAGACAGUGGCUGGGUGGGUGCUGUCUUUCAGGUUUGCUUUGGGCUCCGUGCAGACAUCUCACUUCUCCAAUAACUGAUGCUCUGUGGAUGUGCACCAACGGCGUUCUGGGCGGUUUUAAGCACCCGCUGCAGUGCGUUCCUGUCCUGGGCCACGCACGGACCAUACCAAUUUGUGACGUUUUUAGCUCUGGAAUGUAACCUCCCUAAGUUUCCUUAGGAGGUACAGCCCUUUCUCUGUGAUAUUGACUUCCCAGAAUUUAAAACUCAGAGGGAAUGAAGGCAAUAGGUUGCAGCUCUAAUGGUUGGAAGUCUGCCUGCUUACCUGUGAGGUACAGCAGGUAGAGCGUGGUGUUGUGCUGAGAUCAGCACCAUGGACAGGGCCAGCAGACAGUGCUUCACUCUCAGGCCUCCUCAAUGAUGUAAAUGGAUGUUCGCCGGUGUUGCGACCUCUGACCCUGACUGCCCCCCUGUUUCCUGAACCAGAUGCUGCUCCUGUGGACCGAGGCCUUCUCAACCUAAACAAAGUAAUCCUCCACUAAACAAGAUGGAUAUUGUAUCACCAGCCUAGUAAAUACCAGAGGGUCUUAAACACAGAGCUGCC